rnacentral:lncRNA from 1 species
CUCUAACAUUAUAUUGAAAACAAGAAGCCAUUUUCUUGAACAGAAGCUCUCUCUAGAGAAAAGGAAAAUGGAGAACUGACUUUGGUUGAGUUCUGCUUUCUGAGAGCAGGUGCUUCUCAUAUCUGAUCUCAUGUAGCCUCCACAAACACCCUAAGAGUUUGAGCUAUUUUACAGAUGCGGAAAUUGAGGUCCUGAGAGGUUAAGCGAGGUCACACAGCCAAUACGAGAGAAGUGUGAGUCAGUAUACUUCCCAAGCCACCAGAUUGCCUCUGAUGACUUGCCCCAGAUCUGACAACUCAUCUUUUUUUCAGAAAUAAAACAAUAUUGUGGCCAUGUACUGUAUUUUUCUCCCCAAAGCUCCAGCUACUUCGAGGGGAUUUUUUUGUUUCAUUAUUGGUAUGUGUCCAAGCUAAGCAUAUUCUCCAACCUGUCAAGGGCUACCUAGGUCCCAUGAAAAGUCCCUGUGCUAUGCUAUGCUUUCUGUGUUCCAGCUCUUCUAGAAAUUAUUCAGGCUACCUCCCCCACCCAUGCACUUUCAUCUCUCUCUGCUAUGGGUUGAAUUCUGUCCCCCACACCCACCUCCCCAACCAAAAUACUGAAGUUCUAUGAAUGUGACCUUGUUUGGAAAUACAACAAGGUUAAAAUGAAGUCAUUAGGGUUGGAGUUCCUGUUGUGGCUUAGUGGGUUAAGAACUGGAUGAAGUCUUUGUGAGCAUGAGGAUUCCAUCCCUGGCCUUGCUCAGUGGGUUAAGGAUCUGGUGUUGCCAUGAGCUGUGGUGUGGGUCACAGAUGUGGCUCAGAUCCAGUGUUGCCAUCACUGUGGUGUAGGCCUGUAGCUGCAGCUCCAAUUCAACCCCUAGCCUGAGAACUUCCAUAUGCCAUAGGUGCAGCCCUAAAAAGAAAAAAAACCAAAAUGAAGUCAUUAGGAUAAGCCUGAAUCCAGUAUGACUGGUGUCCUUAUAAAAAGGGGAAAUUUGAACACAAACACGAGAGGGAAUAUACAAUGUGAAGACACAGCGAGGAUGCCAUCAACAAACCAAGGAGCACCUGAGGAUACCAGAAGCUAAGAAAGAGGCUUAGAACUGUUCUCCCUCACAGUUCUCAAAAGAAACCAAUCCUGCCCAUCUCUAGAACUAUGAGACAAUAAAGUUCUGUUGUUUAAGCUACCCAAUGUCACUGCAGUCUCAGGCUUCUAAAAUACUCCUCUCUCUCUCUCCUUGUCUCCCUUUCCCGUUCUCUGAUCUGGUUUCAUGGAUUCCAGUCUUGCCUAGAUUCUCUGGUUCCCUGGGCCAGGGCUUGGUUUAUCUCAUGGAUAGGGCCUCUCAGUCUCCCCGCCUUGUGCCCCCCAGGGACACCUGCUCCUCCCCACCAAUAACGCAGCUCCCAGCACCCCAAGAUCCACCCCUGGCCCAGCUACCCAGGCCCCUAGUUGGAAAAGGGGGGUUCCAAGAGAAGGCAGAUUGGACACAGUAAAACAGCCACAUGUUUUUUUGUUUUGAUUUGUCUGUCAACUAAAUAGGCUUAUUAUGCAAGGUAGACACCACUGUCUAGAAUGUUCUCUUCUCACACAGGUUGGAACUGUGAUCCUAGCAGCUCCUUGCUGACUUAAUAUCAUCUGUUUUGUGUCCUCUAUUACUAUCACAUGUCAGGCUCCAACAAAGCCCUUCCCUGAAAUCAUCAGGAGAAUCACAAAAUUAAAUGAAAGCUGCAAAGCACUCAUCAAGUUUCGAUCACAAAAUUCUUUGGUGUCACCUUGACUGAAUUUCUCAAACAUUCUAACUGAGGUUGGGAGUGAAACGUAAAUCGUUGUCACCACAAUGCAUCAUAUUGGAUUUUAGUGUUUAAUCAUUUUUCAUUUGAAAGAUACAUGAAUGUGGAUAGUUUUAAUACCUGUUUUAAACACAUCAGAAAUUCCCAUCCUUAGUUCUUUUAAAUGGGACUCUAAAUAGUUCUAGUCUAUUCAGAACAAAUAUUAAUCAAGUACUUACCAGUGGCAGGCAUUGUUUUAGGCACAGUGGUAAAUAAAAGAAAGUCCCUGCCCUCCAAGAGUUUAUUACAGUCUAAGAUCAAAGAUCGGCAAUAAACAAAAACAUGUAAUAUUGGAUCCCAAGUCAUGAUAAGUACUACAAGGAAAAAUAAAGCUAUAAUUAUUUGUUCAAUAUCAGUCUUCCUUUUAACUUAUAACCUUCAUGAUGACAAAGGCCUUGUCUGUCUCAGUGGUAGCUCAUUGUACACAUUUGAUAAUGGUUGUUGGAUGGACGGAUGGGCAGAUGGACCUAUGGAUAGAUGGAACUCAACAUUCAUUUGGGCUCCUAAAAAGCCAUGUAUAUCCUACAUUGAAAAUUCAUUGGUUCAAAUAGAUGUUUUACUUCUAAAGAAAUAAGGACCUACAGUCUCACAAAGCAAUAGAAAUAAGAGCAAAAAUAAACCCAUGGGACCUCAUCAAACUGAAAAGCUUUUGCACAGCAAAGGAAACCAAAAGAAAACAAAAAGACAACUUACAGAAUGGGAGAAAAUAGUUUCAAAUGAUGCAACAGACAAGGCCUUAAUCUCUAGACUAUACAAGCAACUUAUACAACUCAACAGCAAAAAGGCCAAUCAACCAAUGGAAAAAUGGGCAAAAGACCUGAAAAGACAUUUUUCCAAGGAAGAUAUACAGAUGGCCAGCAAACACAUAAAAAAAUGCUCAACAUCGCUGAUUUAAGAGAAAUGCAAAUCAAAACUACCGUGAGAUACCACCUCACACCAGUCUGAAUGGCCAUCAUUAAGAAGUCCACAAAUAACAAGUGCUGGAGGGGGUGUGGACAAAAGGGAACCCUCCUGCACUGUUGGUGGGAUGUAAACUGGUACAGCCACUAUGGGGAACAGUGUGGAGAUACCUUAGAAAUCUAUACAUAGAACUUCCAUAUGACCCCGCAAUCCCAAUCUUGGGCAUAUAUCCGGACAAAACUCUACUAAAAAGAGGCACAUGCACCCACAUGUUCAUUGCAGCACUAUUCACAAUAGCCAAGACAUGGAAACAACCCAAAUGUCCAUUGAUAGAUGACUGGAUUUGGAAGAUGUAGUAUAGAUACACAAUGGAAUACUACUCAGCCAUAAAAAAGAACGACAUAAUGCCAUUUGCAGCUACAUGGAUGGAACUAGAGACUCUCAUACUGAGUGAAAUGAGUCAGAAAGACAAAGACAAAUACCAUAUGAUAUCACUUAUAACUGAAAUCUAAUAUAUAGCACAAAUGAACAUCUCCUCAGAAAAGAAAAUCAUGGACUUGGAGAAUAGACUUGUGGCUGCCCAGGGGGAGAGAGAGGGAGUGGGAGGGAUCGGGAGCUUGGGCUUAUCAGACACAACCUGAAUAGAUUUACAAGGAGAUCCUGCUGAGUAGCAUUGAGAACUAUGUCUAGAUACUCAUAUUGCAACAAAGGGUGGGGAAAAAAAAUGUAUACAUGUAAGGAUAACUUGAUCCCCUUGCUGUACAAUGGGAAAAAAAAUAAAUUAUUAAAAAAAAAAAAAGGAAAUAAGGACCUAGUCAUGGAAGUAUACAUGUGGUAUUCUGUGCUUUGGGGGAGGUGGGAGGGAGUUAGAAGGAAUGAUGGUCCAAGAAAGGGGUCCCAAAUAGAGUGAAACUUGAACUGAAUCUGAAAGAUACUGCCAGGUCCAGAAAAGGCAUUAUGAGCAGAGGGACCAGCUAGGGCAGAGGCUGGAGAUAGGAAUGUCUAGGGACACCAAGGCCAUCUUUUGUUAAGACAGGAACACAGGGAGAAAUGAUGAGAUGAGGCUGAAAAACAAGGCAGGAGCUAAAUGUUGAUCUGCCUUCUCUGUAUAUGUCAGCUCUUUCAUUGCAGAAAUCUGAUGAGCUUAUCAGACAGGUUCUAAAGGUCAGCAAAACAGAAGGACUGGGGACAUUGAAGUAGUUAAGUGAGUAAGUUGCCUGGAAACCUUGUUAGGCACAAAAGCAUCUUUUUUUUUCUCUUGAGCUGCUUUGUUUCCAUGCUGGGGUAUCAGAUUCUGUAUCUUCCUGUGACUAAGAACUGCA